rnacentral:snRNA from 1 species
AUCUUAGCCAAAAGGCCG